rnacentral:rRNA from 1 species
GAUGAACGCUGGCGGCGUGCCUAAUACAUGCAAGUCGAGCGAACAGACGAGGAGCUUGCUCCUCUGACGUUAGCGGCGGACGGGUGAGUAACACGUGGAUAACCUACCUAUAAGACUGGGAUAACUUCGGGAAACCGGAGCUAAUACCGGAUAAUAUAUUGAACCGCAUGGUUCAAUAGCGAAAGACGGUUUUGCUGUCACUUAUAGAUGGAUCCGCGCCGCAUUAGCUAGUUGGUAAGGUAACGGCUUACCAAGGCAACGAUGCGUAGCCGACCUGAGAGGGUGAUCGGCCACACUGGAACGGAGACACGGUCCAGACUCCUACGGGAGGCAGCAGUAGGGAAUCUUCCGCAAUGGGCGAAAGCCUGACGGAGCAACGCCGCGUGAGUGAUGAAGGUCUUCGGAUCGUAAAACUCUGUUAUUAGGGAAGAACAAAUGUGUAAGUAACUAUGCACGUCUUGACGGUACCUAAUCAGAAAGCCACGGCUAACUACGUG